rnacentral:rRNA from 1 species
GACAGAGGCCACAAGCGUUAGGCGGAAUCACUGGGCUUAAAGCGUGUGUAGGCGGAUCGUUAAGUGUCUUGUGAAAUCCCACGGCUCAACCGUGGAACUGCUGGGCAUACUGCGGGUCUUGGGCCAACUAGGGGCAGCCGGAACAAGCGGUGGAGCGGUGAAAUGCGUAGAUAUCGCUUGGAACGCCGAAGGUGAAAACAGGCUGCUGGGUGCGCCGACGCUGAGACACGAAAGCCAGGGAGCAAACGGG